rnacentral:rRNA from 1 species
CGGGGGGAGCAAGCGUUGUUCGGAAUCACUGGGCGUAAAGGGAGUCUAGGCGGUCAGAUAAGUGGAAUGUGAAAUCCCUCGGCUUACCCGAGGACCUGCAUCCCAAACUGUCUGGCUUGAGUAUGGGAGAGGAUGAGGGAAUUCCUGGUGUAGCGGUGAAAUGCGUAGAUAUCAGGAGGAACACCGGUGGCGAAAGCGCUCAUCUGGCCCAAUACUGACGCUGAAGCUCGAAAGCUAGGGGAGCAAACGGG